GAACGAACGCUGGCGGCAUGCCUAACCCAUGCACGUCGAACGAGACCUUCGGGUCUAGUGGCGCACGGGUGCGUAACGCGUGGGAACCUGCCCUUAGGUUCGGAAUAACUCCCCGAAAGGGGUGCUAAUACCGGAUAAUGUCUUCGGACCAAAGAUUUAUCGCCUUUGGAUGGGCCCGCGUUGGAUUAGCUAGUUGGUAGGGUAAAAGCCUACCAAGGCGACGAUCCAUAGCUGGUCUGAGAGGAUGAUCAGCCACACUGGGACUGAGACACGGCCCAGACUCCUACGGGAGGCAGCAGUGGGGAAUAUUGGACAAUGGGCGAAAGCCUGAUCCAGCAAUGCCGCGUGAGUGAUGAAGGCCUUAGGGUUGUAAAGCUCUUUUACCCGGGAUGAUAAUGACAGUACCGGGAGAAUAAGCUCCGGCUAACUCCGUG
rnacentral:rRNA from 1 species